rnacentral:rRNA from 1 species
UACGAAGGGGGCUAGCGUUGCUCGGAAUCACUGGGCGUAAAGGGUGCGUAGGCGGGUCUUUAAGUCAGGGGUGAAAUCCUGGAGCUCAACUCCAGAACUGCCUUUGAUACUGAAGAUCUUGAGUUCGGGAGAGGUGAGUGGAACUGCGAGUGUAGAGGUGAAAUUCGUAGAUAUUCGCAAGAACACCCGUGGCGAAGGCGGCUCUCUGGGACGGUACUGACGCUGAGACGGCGAAAGCGUGGGGAGCGAACAGG